rnacentral:rRNA from 1 species
GAAAACGGGUGGUAAUGCCGGAUGCUCCGACUCCUCGCAUGGGGUGUCGGGAAAGAUUUCAUCGGUAUGGGAUGGGGUCGCGUCCUAUCAGGUAGUCGGCGGGGUAACGGCCCACCGAGCCUACGACGGGUAGCCGGCCUGAGAGGGCGACCGGCCACAUUGGGACUGAGAUACGGCCCAGACUCCUACGGGAGGCAGCAGUGGGGAAUAUUGCACAAUGGGCGCAAGCCUGAUGCAGCGACGCCGCGUGCGGGAUGACGGCCUUCGGGUUGUAAACCGCUUUUGAUCGGGAGCAAGCCUUCGGGUGAGUGUACCUUUCGAAUAAGCACCGGCUAACUACGUGCCAGCAGCCGCGGUAAUACGUAGGGUGCAAGCGUUAUCCGGAAUUAUUGGGCGUAAAGGGCUCGUAGGCGGUUCGUCGCGUCCGGUGUGAAAGUCCAUCGCUUAACGGUGGAUCUGCGCCGGGUACGGGCGGGCUGGAGUGCGGUAGGGGAGACUGGAAUUCCCGGUGUAACGGUGGAAUGUGUAGAUAU